ensembl:lncRNA
AAUUUGUGGGUCUCUGUUGGUUGGCGUUUCAAACAGCGUGACAGACCUGAUAUACCUGACGGCCGCACAUGUUCGCAACUUAGAGGUAGCAUUCUAUCUGACCGGAAAAGGAUUAUAAAGCCUCAAAAUGAAGCUUUUCUAACACCUUAAUCAAGGAAACCUAUGGGGGGAGCGUUGAGGUUUGGGUAAACGUAUGGAAGUGGGUAUUGACACAGUCCAGCCCAGGCUGGUGAUUCAGAGCGAUGACAUGCAGAUGAAACGGGGCUGUUCGUGGCUAGGUCUGACUUCAAGAAAGAGCUACUAGCUGACAUUGACACAGUGGUCAGACGGGUUACGUAAGCGUGUGCACGAGAGGCCCGCGGCAGCGUGUGUGGGUGUCCCGGAGGAAACCGCAGCUGUGCUAACGCCGCGUCAGGCCCAUGUCACAUUCCACACGUCCACCGCCAUGCUGAUCUGCAGUCGGCCCUGGGUGACAGACGGGAGCUUAGAGGAUGACGUGCCCUUUAGAGGUGGCCCGUCUCAUCCGUCGGAUAACCCUUUCGGUCGGACGCAUUGAAGAAUGCACCGGUAUUGCGUCAGCAUCUGAACACUGCCUGCAGUCAGGCUUUUUUAUGGACAAUGGGGCAGAGGCAGUUAGAAGCUCCGCCUUACCAGGGGAUACAACCGGGGCCUCGGCUAGCGUUCACCGAUUGUAUCUUUUUCGCUGUUCGUCCUACUGGCCACUGAACGGAAAGUCUCUGUUUUGUAGCUAAUGUUCGGCAUGUAUUACCGAAUGCUUUGGUUUCCACUUAACACGUCUACUAUUGGGAAGUUUACAAAUCAGAGCAGUCAUAGUUGCCCCAGUCAGAAAAGAGGUAGUCUGACCAGCCACAUAAGAUGACAAAGUAAUAUUAUGAGCAGGGUCUAGCAGCCUUUAUUUAUUUACUUUUAUUUUGUUGUGCUUUCUCUGUUCCCUGAUUGCCCAAUCAAAAGAAGUCCAGAUUCUGCCAAAAUGUUCUGCCACUGGUUAUAUAAAUAUGUAAAUAUUUGACAGCUGUAUUUGUGAGAUUUGUCACGUUAUGAUAAAUGAUGUCAGUGUUACAUCUAAUUUUUGCAAAUCUAAGCAGACUAGGCAGAGUUGGGAAAAAAGACCAGUUGUUUGAGAUGUUCAGAAGGUGCAAAUUGGAGAGCACUAUCAGCAACAUUUGAAUAUAGCUGGGUAGUGAGCGUAAUGUAAAAUCUAUACUCCCUUGUACAUAACCCUUCUGUACAUGCUACAACAUCUACCCCAGCUGUUGAGCUCAGCCUGCUUAUCCGGGUCACGGCACCAAUAAAAUUACUCCUCCAAUGCACAC